UUUAUGGAGAGUUUGAUCCUGGCUCAGGAUGAACGCUGGCGGCGUGCCUAAUACAUGCAAGUCGAGCGAACAGACAAGGAGCUUGCUCCUUUGACGUUAGCGGCGAACGGGUGAGUAACACGUGGGUAACCUACCUAUAAGACUGGGAUAACUUCGGGAAACCGGAGCUAAUACCGGAUAAUAUUUCGAACCGCAUGGUUCGAUAGUGAAAGAUGGCUCUGCUAUCACUUAUAGAUGGACCUGCGCCGUAUU
rnacentral:rRNA from 1 species